CAAAGGAUUCAUUGCGGCUGGUACUGCGGACACAGCAGAGGUCCCUGUUGGCCUGUCCCAUUUUUGCCUGCACCGCCACUUGUUUUUCCAUCUGACUAAGCACAAGCCUAGGUAGAUUCUUACUGUCUUCCACGGCAUCGAACGAUUAGCAGACACAGAAAGCCACUCCUGUGCCUUUGACAAUGGAAACAGGUCAGAUUUCUGAUUGUAUCUACAGCAGCUUCAUGCAGGAGUAUCUCAUGAAAACAUCAGUAUACUUGGACAUAACCUAUUAUUGUUCAGCUGUAUCCCAGACUAAUCAGGGUCCAGAUCUCAUCUCGUCCCCUCUUCCCAAACUCUUCUGCUGAGCAUUUGCCAGAGGAGGGGGUCUCUACUUCAGCUGAAGUUAUGAUGGGUUUCCAGGACAGUCUCAGUGGAGUGAAAAGUGAAUGGGAGAAGGAGAAUGAGGAAGUCACACUUUGCUUGUCUCCAGCAUCCCUUCAGACCAGAUCAGAUGAUAACUUUCAGUUGUUUCAGCGGCGGGAGUCCGGGAGGAAGCGCGAGGGCAGCCUGGGAAGGUUGACCCUUCAAUGCAGUACUGAUGGUGAUCUGCACAGUCAGGAGAUGUCUACUUCUGAAUGAGAUCUUCAACCAAGGAAAGGGUUCUAUUCAUUUGAUCUGUGGUCAUCUAUGAUCACCACUCUAUCUUCCUGGAGCUGUAUACAUGCUAUCCUGGCAGUUGCCAAUGUCCUGAAGUGCUCGUAUGUACCUGGUUGAGUGCCAUACAAGGCUGGUUACUAGAGGGCAAGAACUACACGCUGCGACCAUGGCUCAUGAGAACAUUGUGCAACCUCCCUGACUGAUAUGGAAUGCAGGUUUAACACCAUUCAUGCCACAACCAGGGCAAUGCCGUUGAUGAGUACAGGACUGUUGAAAAUAUGGUUCUGCUGCUUGGAAUGAUCUAGGGAAUCUUCCAAUAUAUUCUAGACAGAAUGUGCCAUGUCAUCCUGGCAUGCUGUGUUCUGCACAAUUGAAGCAGACAAUAAGGCGAUGCGCUGGAUGCAGAGAAACUGGGAGAAUGGGAACAGUCUUCUGAGGAGGAGAAGGAUGACUUUAAUGAGGAGGAAACUGUCAUUGUUCAUUUCAGAGCUCAGCUGUAUCGGACAUUAAAAACCACACAAAACUUUGACACUUUGAACAGAUUACAACUGGGUGCAGCAGAUGAUCGUGGACUAUAAAUUAAUCAGUGGUCAUCAUGAGAAGCCUGGUUUGCACCAAUGGAACAAACUUCAGCCUCUAAUCAUUUUGU